GGCCUGGCUGUAUUCUACAGUGCAUGUGUCUCCAGUGUGAGUAAGUGACUGGAGAUGCGGCCCUGUUGGAAUAACAUCCAGUGCC
ensembl:miRNA